AAAACUAUACUUUCAGGGAUCAUUUCUGUAGUUUGUUACUAGAGAAGUUUCUCUGAAAGCGUAGGACACAGAAACUGCGAGGAAAGGAUGGAGUAUUCUCUCCGGAGUGUGAACACUUUUGGUGUUGUUUUGGUAAUUUCCAUUUGCUGUUGAUAAUUGUUUUUCUCUCUCCUUGUGGAGAAUAAGAGGGAGAGAACACUGUCUGAGUGU